rnacentral:lncRNA from 1 species
AAUGGGAGGCCCAAAUUCUCAGGGGGUGUCGCUCUAUUAGAUGUCAAAGAGGUCACCUUCGAUCACAGGCAACAACAGAAGACGACUCGACUUUUGAAAACACAAUGGCAAAAACAAAUAAGCGUUACGAAUCUGAGAAUGAUAUCAACAAUUGUAUUAAUAUUUAGAGACAAUGGAAACUUGACGGGAACCAAAUAAGCAUUCUUUUUUAUGAAAUUCCUAUUAAAUUCCAACAACUUUAAGCAUUAAUCAAAGAAGUACUAGCAGUGGGCUUUUUAUUGAACCUUGGGGCUAAAAAACACAUUCAUGGUUGAACCAUCAUAUUCAGAUUAAGAGAUGUGAAGUGUCAAAUUUCACACCAAGUCAACCUAACAUUUUCACUUAUUGUUUAUCCACACAUUAAAUGCUGGCACACUAAUGAAACAAUUAACUAUAUGAUCAGAUUUCCCUUUGACAUGGAUUCUGUAAAAACAUGCCCAUUUCAACGAUAUGAACAUCGAGGCUAGAUGUCUAUCCUUGUGGUCUCAUACGAGUUCAAACAAUACCAAGUAUUUAAAAGAUAUCUAUUACACAUUUGGUACUUCUCAAUGAACAAUCAAACCAAUUUAUAACACAACAAUUCCUAGACUAAACAGACAGAAGAAAUAUCAUGCAAUUAACCUAAGCUAGACAGAUUUUCAGAAGUGCAAAAAUAGACCAAAUACUUAUAUCAAUAAAGAUAUCCAUUCAAAUGAAUCACCCUUUAUAUUUAUCCAUUCUCAUACAUUGGGGAAUGAAAUGAGUACCUAGAAAUUGGACAAAAGAAUCAGAAGUGAGACAGUAAGCAUCAACACAGAUUCAACAGGAUCAGCUCAACACAAGGAAAUGAGAAACAACAAAAUAACACUUAAACCAACACCAAAAGCUUAUUAGAACACUCAAUUUCAAACCAUAUCGAACAACCAGAGAGAAUUUGAGAUUUGUUUUCAAAAUUAGAACCCCAAAAGAUCACAUAACCAGCCAAUAGAACAAUAUUCAUUCAAAGUUUAACCUUAUCUUUGGAUUUCUUCCACUCUUAAAUUCGAGGAAAGCAUUAAAAUCUAUACAAACCUUUUUGUAAUUUCCUAAGUUUUUAGUUCUUCAAAUCUAUGAAACAGUAAAAACAACUCAGUCGUCUGUAUUUUUUUGGGUUUUUAGCUCUCUUAUUUUUGCCUUGAAAGGCAAGAAUGAUACCUUUUUAUAGGCCCAGCCAUAGGGCAGCCCUCAGGAUCACUUAUUUACCCUUUACCCCCUUUUGAGUUCUUGUUUUAGCUUAGGGGUCCCUACAGUUCUGACUUGCCACUCAAGUUAAACAACUAAAAACAAAGAAAUUUCACCAAAAUCCCCACUAGAAACUUCUGAAAUCAAUUGCAAAGAUUCCCCCAUGUUAGAUUACCUAUACAACCCCCAAGCAAUUGUUAUUUACCUUCAAAGUCAAAAUUGGGUCAAAGUGACCCAAAACCCCAAACCCCUGGGCAUGCAUACCCUAGCCCAAACUUACAAACUUCAAACCAUUUAUCAACGAGCCUUGAGGCUCAAAUGAAUAAGGUUGUUUGGGCCAAAUGAAAGAAAACGAAAAAUAAACAACAGAGAAGGAAAAGAACUGAGUCAAGGAACUCAUGGAAUUCAAGCAAAAGAAACAACAAGGAAGGAACACUUAACCAACCUGACAAUCAAAUGGGAAACUGGUGAAUGAAACCACGAAUCAAGCAAGACAAACAAACAAAUGACUAAACAACAUUUGACCCCAAAUGCGUCUGUGUUAAAACCAAAAUUCAUCAAUCUUGAAAGAAAAGGAACAUGAGGCAAAGAAAAGAAGGGGAACAAUUAGAAAAAUGGAGAAAUUAAGGGAGAUAGAAGUACCUAAACAAAAACGGCGAAGACAGACUCAAGCUAAUCGAACCCACUCCUCUGAUUUGAACCAAAAAUGGGUGUUAAACGACUGUUAUUGUAAGAACGGUCGACUGACACUCGUUUCAGGCCCAAAUUGUCUUCAAAACGGGAGGACAUGAACCUAGGCCCUUGAAUGACGAGUUCAAGACUGGAAUGGAUUUAGGUAUGGAAUUUUAGAUCUAAUGUUCGGGACGUUUCAACAGGAUUUGAUGAAAGCUGGUCUGAGAUUUGGGGAGAGGGAGUCACGGUGAGUCCAUGGCCUAUUUUUUAUGGGGUUUGGCGAUGGCGCUGCCAGGUUUGCUGUGGUGGAGAAGAAGGGUGGUUAUCUAGGGAUAAGAGUUUGGGGGGUCUCUGAAAUGACGAAAUGAGGGAGAUGAUUG